rnacentral:miRNA from 1 species
ACAUAUUAAUGGCAACGAUUU